CCGCGAAAAUUAAGCAUUGAAUUACUGUACAAAUCUCGGGUUGUUAGGUGUUGGAAUCCCUAGUUACCCGAAAAAUUUGAUUGGAUCCGAUACUUAGAAAUAACCAAUCAGAUACUUUGUAACAAAUGCAACACAAUCAGUGCGUUCAGUAAGUAUAACGUUUCAAGAUGGCGGAGCGAAUUGCAUGGUAAUUGUUUCUACUCGAUGGAUUCGCAGAUAAUUCGGAAAUAGAUCAGAUUGGGAUCAAUAACUUUAUUGCAUACGAUCAUUUACAUGUAUUACCUGGUGUGUGUUGCCAGUAAUGGUUGAAGAUGUGCCAAACAAAUUGUGCCUCUCUAUAAAGACAGAUUUCAGGUCUCAAUUUCAACUUCAAAGGUCAACAUAUCACUGAUAUCAGGAAUUCUGUGAAACUGUGGCACCAUGUAUGGUACGUGAGCGCACAAUGUCUGUUGGAAAAAGGAUAUUGGAAUAAGCAAAGGGACUCAACAUUACACAGUCAUUUCAACAUGUAGAGUCUUGUCAGCAAUGAUGGAGCAGUACAUCAGAUUUCCAGAAUCUCGUCAUGAGCUGAAGAUCAUUGCCUAUGGAUUUCAUGAAUGAUGUAGAAUGAUUGGACUGUUGAUGGAACCCACAGUGCAUGUCCUGCUUCAACAUCUGAGCAUAGGUCCUUGUUUAUCAGCAGUUUAGUUCUUCAAGCAGUCUGUGACAGUAACUUGAAAUGUUUGGACAUGUGCCCUGGAUGGCCAAGUUCUGUGCAUGAUGCCCAUUUAAAUAGGAACGGCCCAGUGGCGCAUUAAAUGGACAAUUUUUCGAAUGUUCUCGUGGAUUCAGCUUACCGCCUGACAAGAAAUCUUGCUUGUUGUUCUGUAUUGAGGCCAUGGACAUUUGUAUCAUUUGCAAAAGAUACUGCGAUAUUUGUGCCUUUGUUCAUGCUUUAUAGUUGAUUAACAAUUGGAAGCCAUAACCUGUUUUAUAGGAUGGUGUUAGUGGGACAAUCAAUUUUGUAAAGAUUUAAAGAAUGGAAAAGAUAAUUAAUAGUCAAAAGAGUUCUGCUAUUGUUAAGCAUGCUUUAUUGAUUUGUAAUGUUAGAAAGAUAGCAUUAUUAACAGAAUAAAAUGUCCAUAAUUUGAA